AGAGUUUGAUCCUGGCUCAGGACGAACGCUGGCGGCGUGCUUAACACAUGCAAGUCGAACGAAGCUUGAUUACGGAUUCUUCGGAUGAAGUAUGAUAUGACUGAGUGGCGGACGGGUGAGUAACGCGUGAGUAACCUGCCCUUCAGAGGGGGAUAGCGUUUGGAAACGAACGGUAAUACCGCAUAAUGUAUUUUGACCGCAUGAUCGAAAUACCAAAGAUUUAUCGCUGAAGGAUGGACUCGCGUCUGAUUAGGUAGUUGGUGGGGUAACGGCCUACCAAGCCGACGAUCAGUAGCCGGACUGAGAGGUUGAUCGGCCACAUUGGGACUGAGACACGGCCCAGACUCCUACGGGAGGCAGCAGUGGGGAAUAUUGCACAAUGGGCGCAAGCCUGAUGCAGCAACGCCGCGUGAAGGAAGACGGUUUUCGGAUUGUAAACUUCUGUUCUUAGUGAAGAAUAAUGACGGUAGCUAAGGAGCAAGCCACGGCUAACUACGUGCCAGCAGCCGCGGUAAUACGUAGGUGGCAAGCGUUGUCCGGAAUUACUGGGUGUAAAGGGAGCGCAGGCGGGUGAUCAAGUCAGCUGUGAAAACUACGGGCUUAACCCGUAGACUGCAGUUGAAACUGUUCAUCUUGAGUGAAGUAGAGGUUGGCGGAAUUCCGAGUGUAGCGGUGAAAUGCGUAGAUAUUCGGAGGAACACCGGUGGCGAAGGCGGCCAACUGGGCUUUAACUGACGCUGAGGCUCGAAAGUGUGGGGAGCAAACAGGAUUAGAUACCCUGGUAGUCCACACUGUAAACGAUGAUUGCUAGGUGUGGGGGGUCUGACCCCUUCCGUGCCGGAGCUAACGCAAUAAGCAAUCCACCUGGGGAGUACGACCGCAAGGUUGAAACUCAAAGGAAUUGACGGGGACCCGCACAAGCAGUGGGUUAUGUGGUUUAAUUCGACGCAACGCGAAGAACCUUACCAAGACUUGACAUCCUCUGACGCAUAUAGAGAUAUAUGUUCCCUUCGGGGCAGAGAGACAGGUGGUGCAUGGUUGUCGUCAGCUCGUGUCGUGAGAUGUUGGGUUAAGUCCCGCAACGAGCGCAACCCUUGUGAACAGUUGCCAGUAUUAAGUUAGGAACUCUGUUCAGACUGCCGUGGACAACACGGAGGAAGGUGGGGACGACGUCAAAUCAUCAUGCCCCUUACGUCUUGGGCUACACACGUGCUACAAUGGCCGUAACAGAGGGCAGCGAAAGGGCAACCUGGAGCGAAUCUCAAAAAAACGGUCUCAGUUCAGAUUGUGGGCUGCAACCCGCCCACAUGAAGACGGAGUUGCUAGUAAUCGCGGAUCAGCAUGCCGCGGUGAACGCGUUCCCGGGCCUUGUACACACCGCCCGUCACACCAUGGGAGUUGAGAGCACCCGAAGUCGGUGACCUAACCGCAAGGAAGGAGCCGCCGAAGGUGAGAUUGAUGACUGGGGUGAAGUCGUAACAAGGUA
rnacentral:rRNA from 1 species